rnacentral:lncRNA from 1 species
CCGGGGUAGUAGUAAUUACUUUUUAUAUAUUACAUGAGACUAUAUUUAUAUGAUUUGAUUAAUUUAUCGAUAAAUAAUCUACAACUAACAAGAUUUUUUGCUAUUUAGUGAUGAAAUAUGUCUGCACUAAUUUCUUUUUUAAGUGCUACUGUCUCAAUUCUUAGAAGUGUACAAGGGGAGGGCAAAAAAGUGAUGAAUUUCAGAGUCAGAAUGCAA